AGUAAUGAUCAUAGCUUUAGAUUUGAUAAAACAUCUUUGUUUUAGCAUAUUUGAAAUCUUCGUUUUGUUUAAUUUUUUUUUUCAUCCCUCUGGCUGGUAUCACAAACCUCUUCUCCUUCCCUCCCCUCUUCCUCUCGGCUCUCAGAGAAAGUUUCCCAGAGAAAACCAGGGAGUGAUACGGGAAGUGUGACGUCGUCUUUCUCCAUCUAAAGCCGCCUCCCCAUAAUGUCCGCUCCUGGUUACCCGGGUUCUACCCACCAGCCACCCUACCAGAUGUCUCAGCACGGUGGCAAGUCCGCACCUCCAUGUCCCGAUCCUGCAGGGGGCUACGGAGACCCCAGUCAAGCCCCUCCACCAGGGUUUGGCAAGGGCUACAAUCAGGGUCCUCCUGGUCCUGUCAUGUAUCAGCCGGGUCAUGGGCCAGAGUAUGGAGACCCGCAUGGUGGGAUAUCCCCGGCCCCCGCCGCUGGGGCUGUCGCUGUCGGGGUCCCACCCGGGCUCGAGUAUCUCACACAGAUCGACCAGAUCCUGAUCCAUCAAAAACUUGAGCUCGUGGAAGUAUUCACUGGCUUCGAGACAAACAACCAGUACGAGAUAAAGAACAGCCUCGGGCAAAGCAUCUACAAGGCCAAGGAGAUAAACGACUGCUGCACGAGGAACUGCUGCGGCGCUCUGCGCCCCUUCGAAAUGAAAAUCAAGGACACCAUGGACAGGGAGGUCAUCCACCUCAUCCGGCCUUUACGCUGCGCGCUUUGCUGUUGUCCCUGCUGCCUGCAAGAGAUGGAGGUCCAGGCACCACCGGGCAUCACCAUAGGGUACAUCACACAGGACUGGCACUUAUGUUCUCUGCCAAAGUUUUCCAUCCUCGGACCAAACAGGGAGACCCUGAUGAAACUGGAGGGGCCUUGCGUCGUCUGCAACUGCUGUGCUGACGUCAACUUUGAGCUGAAGGGGAAAGAUGGCGAGGAAACCAUCGGUCGCAUAAGCAAGCAGUGGGGCGGCCUUAUGAAGGAAGUCUUCACCGACACCGAUAACUUUGGCAUCCAGUUCCCACUGGACUUGGACGUGAAGAUGAAAGCUGUCCUCAUGGGCGCCUGUUUCCUGAUUGAUUUCAUGUUCUUCCAGAAAGACUCAUAGGCCAACCAGCGCUGCUCUGUGCUUUCGAAGCCGACGACAAAGAAGAAGAGGAGUCACCACCAUGGAUUUUUAUGUUCUGCAUAUUGAAGUGACAUAAGACCACUAUCUGCAACGAGGUACAGGACCAGCACUGCCAGAGACCUACAAAAUCACCUCCUGCCGGCCCCUGGUGUGAAUGUCUCUGACCAAACAACCAAACCUAGUGUCCUCUAGUGGGCCUUGUGUGCACUGGGACAUCAUACUGGGACAUUAUGUUUCUGCCAAUACUCCAGACUACCCGCUUGAGUUGCUGCAGUGACAUUUCAGGAAAAUGAAUUAUUUUGAUUUACAUGGUGUUGAAUUCAACCCUCUGAUCUGGCAUCCUUUCAUUCCUAACACAUCACCCUGUCCAUAUCAGUAGAGAUAUCCAUUAUUAUUAUAUUAUUAAAUGUAUUUCAGCACUGAGUUGUAACACAAGAAGACAUCUUGUCAUGAACCCAGUGGCAUGACAGUUUCUGGCUCCCUAAUUCUCCUCCCCACCUGCCCUGCUUCUGCAAUGAACCACCUGGUCUGAAUCCGCUCAUCACUCACCUGCACAUAUACCCAGGCUUCACCUUCAGUCCCUGCCAUCCAGCAGCGAUUGAUUUAAGAUGAUAUAAAGAAUGUUUUACUCCAACUGUUACUGUGUAGUUACAGCAUAAUAGCUAUUAUUGUUAGCACUGUUGGCAAUCAACCUACAUCAAAAUAAAUUGCUGUUACAAGCCUCUGACAACAUUCAGGGUCCUUACAGGAACGCCAAAGUGGUUUAAACUUUGUAAAUGUAUAGACAUUGUAUGGAAAUGACAGACGUCUCCAUCUGGUUGUCCACCUCCUUCUUAGAAGUCCAAAAGUGAUACAAAACUGCUGUCCUAAUGUCUCAAAUAUGGAUGUGCUGCACCAUUUCCAUGGAAGCAGAGGCCAUGAACGCACCUCCUUUUGUUUCCAUUAUCAUUGCUGACGGCAAAGCAUAUUCUGCUUCAACUCUGAACUGCUUCACUUUAUAUUGUUUUCAGUUUUUGUACCCUAAAGUAAAACUGUAGCUUUUUUCUCCUGCUUUGCAUUUGUUUUCUGUUUUAUUGAAGUGUUUUCUAGAAAGUUUUGAAAAUGUUGCAUUUUCCAAAAUAUUAUGUAUUUUAUGAUAGUAAAGGAAAGGCUGGUGUUUUUUUUACCUAUUUUUUCAUGUCUGGGCAUUUUGUAAUGGAAUUUUUUUUUUUAAAGUGUAUGACACAAUGAGUAACCGACUUUUGUUAUAACUGUUUACUUACAAUUUAGUAAGAAUAAAAUAAGUAAAAAUGUA